rnacentral:rRNA from 1 species
AGUUAUGCAUAUUAAGGUAAAAAGGCAGUUAAGUACAUAGAUAACUAUUGGUUUACUUAUUUUUUAUAAAAAGGUAAAAUUUAGAUAUAAAGGAAUAAUUUAAUGUAAGUCAAUUGAAAUUGAGUCUGCGACAACCUUGAGGGAAACUGGGAUUAGAUACCCCAUUAUUCUUGGUCGUAAAUAAAUGAUGAUUUACCGGAGUACUAUGAAUCAAUUUAAUAAAAUUUAAAACUCAAAGGGCUUGGCGGUGUUUUAGACUUCUCAGGGGAGCCUGUCUCAUAAUCGACAAUCCACGUUAAACCUAACCUUCAUUUGCAAUUCAGUUUGUAUACCGUCGUCGUCAGGUAACUUUUAAAAAAUAAGAAGUUGGCAAAAAAAUUUACUAAAUUUAAACGUCAGAUCAAGGUGCAGCUUAUAUGAAGGUGAGGAUGGGCUACAAUUAAAAUUUAUAAUUACGGAGGGAAUAAUGAAAUACUUUUUUGAUAGAAGGAGGACUUGAAAGUAAAAUAAAUUUAUAUAAAUAGUUUGAAUAAAGCUCUGAAACGUGC